GAUUUUACUAAUGCGUGAAGAAACAAAUAUUGAUUGACAGUACACGUCAACUGUAAUUGUCAGUUUUUCACAUCACAAAAUCGUACAAAAUGAAAUGAGUAAACAGCAAAUCAUUGUUUUAGUAACAGCUUCCGCUUUAUUCUCCUGCGCAGCCACCGUUUUGGAGAAGAGCGGCCGAGGACCUCGGUGGCCAUGAUGAUUUCGUAAGAAGAAAUCCAAGACCCAAUGGCUACCGUAAAAUAAUGGACCCAACAACCUUCCAUACAACCAUAUCCUCAUCAAAUACCAGGCCUUCUCAGCUGACCAUCUAACAUAACCAACUCCAAAAAUCACAGCAAAAGAGCAUCAGUUUCCACAAUGAACAACGGAAUCAAACCAACGCGCCUAUGGCAUUUGACAGGGAAAAAGCAUUACCGAUCAGUGAUCAAGGACAAAAUGGAAGCCAACCCUCCCUUCGAUCAGCAAGAGAGACAUAAACUUUUCCCGUUUAUAGGCGUCGUCCUCGCUUCGGCCUUUGGCAUAGCAGCUUCAUUCGGGAAAUUUACGAAACAGAAACCAACGACAACUAUUAUUAGAGGAACCUGCGAUUCUGGUAGUAAACAGGCCGCGAAACCGAAAUGCACUCCUCCGAAGGAACCUUGUCCACCUGUCAAAGAUCCUCCGAUGAAACCUUGUAAUAAAGAAGAAUGAUGAAACUAAUAAAAGUAUCACAAAACA